rnacentral:misc_RNA from 1 species
UGUUCCUAACUUAAAAAGCAAUUUAUUAAGUGCGGGACAAUUGCAAGAAAAGGGUUAUGUAAUCACUUUGAAAAAUGGUGCCUGUGAGAUAUAUGACCCUAAGAGAGGAGCUAUUGCUAUAGUUCCAAUGAAUUCAAACAGGUUGUUCCCUUUGAAGAUUGAAAGUAUUCAUUCUUGCUUGAUGGUUGAAGUGAAAGAUCCUUCUUGGCUAUGGCAUUUUCGCUAUGGUCACCUGAGUUUUGGCGGACUAAAGACUCUCCAACAGAAAAACAUGGUGACUAGACUUCCUCAAAUUGUUGCUCCUUCUAAAGUCUGUGAAGAAUGUGUUGUUGGCAAACAACAUCGUUCUAAAUUCCCUCAAGGAAAAUCAUGGAGAGCAAAGAAUGUUUUGGAGCUGAUUCACUCUGACAUUUGUGGACCAAUAAAACCAUCUUCAAAUGGAGGUAAAAGAUAUCUAAUUACUUUCAUUGAUGAUUACAGUAGGAAAACAUGGGUUUAUUUUCUACAGGAAAAGUCAGAAGCUUUUGGUGCAUUUAAGAGUUUCAAGGCGCGUGUAGAAAAUGAGGCUGGAAAGACAAUCAAAACUCUUCGCACUGAUCGCGGUGGAGAAUAUUGCUCGAAAGAAUUUGAAGUUUUUUGUCAAGCCCAUGGCAUACGAAGAGAGCUAACAACUGCUUAUACACCACAACAAAAUG